GAUUUUCUUACAAAAUGUUGCUAGGAAAGAGCGAUAGGAAAUAUGAUUAGGCAGUAUUGUACUGCCCCAGUUUGUGUUUGUUUGCAGUUGGUUUAAGUAUCCGAUUUUCUUCAACAUAAAAUGCAAAAGCCAGUGUAAAUUCUUUUUAAAAAUUCAACACAUUAUUCCAUUACACGCUUGUACACCUCUAUGAUUUUUAAAAUAGAUGAAACUAGAUACUCAAUAAAAUGUACAAAGGGGAAAAGAUAUACUUAAACAUUGUUUGUUGACCAAAAGAAAAAUGCUACAAAAUGUCAGAGUUCAAGUAAAAUACAUUCAAAGACUUCGGAGAAGAGUGAACAAAUAUUGAUGGUGACAGAGAGAAGGUGAAAUCAAGGGCUGAGCCAAUAAUGAAAGCAUUAUGAGGGCAAUUACCUGCCAUAAAUAUCAAGGAAGCUAAUAAACUUUUAUGUCAGGGUAGGAUUUCUACCCAUAUAAUUCUGUUCUGAUACACCUAAAUUCAUACUCUCUAACAUUUUCCUUUUAUGCAGUUUAAACAAAACCAAAUUGCCUUAUCAAAAUUUGACAGCAAAACCUUUCAAUGCAUCCAAAUGAAAACUUUUGUGAAAUCAAUAAGACAUGCUAGCAUUUUCAAAGAUCUAGACUUCUCUUCAUUCAUACAAGUUCCUGUGUCCUAAAAUGAAAUGUCUACAGCCCUUCCUAUUGUUCCUGUAGUAAAACACGUUUGUAUCAGUCAUGCUUUUGUAUUUACAUUAGUCAAGAAGUGUCUGCAGAGAUUUACACAGCCUGGCCAAUACAGGAAGAUGUGACUCAUGAUGCAGACGAUUAUCAAACAAUGAUUAAAGUAUGGGACUCUAUAUGGAAUCAUCUGACCUAAGGAUAAGUUUUGGUUGGUGGGGUAGAUUCUAGAAGUGAAUAAUUCAUUCCUCUACACUGAUGAACUUGGACCCCACCUGCUGCCAACUAGAUUAUAUUUUACAAAACUAGAUUAUAGAUGUAGUUUACAUGAAGUGUUUUGUUAUCUAUUUUGUAUGUUCCCAUUCAACUUACAUGUAUAUUGUUUAUUGACAGGAAGAUGUUUUUCAGUUUUUACGUUGGUAUCUUACAGCGUGAUUUCAUCAAUGUGAACUGUUCUUCCUGACAAUCUUACAUGUGUAUCUUACAGCGCGAUUUCAUCAAUGUGAACUGUUCUUUCUGACAAUCUUACAUGUGGUCAACUGUCUCCUAUUUAUUAAAAUAAUAGAUUUUAAUAUUUAACUGUUAUAGUAUUUUACUGACAAAUUGUUUUAUAGUGUCAACUUUCUGAAUAUGCUAAAAAUGAUAAAUUGUAAAAUUUAAAACAUAUGAUCAAAGUUAACUUUUUUCAACAAUUUUUAUUCUUUCUUUAUAAUUAUACAUUCCUAGAUGAGUUUGAACUUUUAUGUAGAAGAUAAAACAAACUUUCAAUUAGUUUUUUCCCAAGAAAUUGAUUAUUAUGGGUGUCUUUAAUAUAAACAAGAUAAUUCAAAGUACUCUUUUCCUUUGGUUGAAGUACAUGUACUAUAUUCAUACAACAAAAUUUACUGAGAAAUCACUGAGUAUUUGUUUUGCAAUGCCAUUAUUUUUGCACUGAGAUAAAUGUAGGAUAAGGCUGACAAGUGGCAAUUUUUUCAUCUUCAACCAAGUAUAUUUUAGAUCAGGACUUGAAAUCUCAGCCUUAUGUAAAUUUGUAUCCCUUAAUUCAAGUUAUAUUAAUUUGAUUUGUGCUUUUCUAAUAAGGAGAAGCAUUUCAUGAAGACUUUUAAGUAUUAAAUUACAAUACAAGUGACUCUCAAUAACUCGAAGUUCAAGGACCUUAAUAAAACUUCAAAGGAUCGAGAGUUCUGGAGAUCAAAAGUUGAGUCAAAUCUGGAAAUUAAAGGUCCAACCAUUAUCGUUUAGAUUUUAUAAUAACUGGAUUGCAUAUUUACAGCUUGGCACUCUUUUGACGUAUUGUCCUUCAUAUUUUAUGGUAAUUGACUUGAUUUUAACAACAAAGAACUUUAUCUUGCUUAGAUAAAUAUGUUUUCUAAAGUUUGUGUUCUUUUUUCAUGUUAAAACAGAAGUACAUGUACAUAUUUACUAGAAAACAAGAUGUACUGUGAGCAAUGCUCACUAAGAAUACCCCAAUUUCCCAAAGGGUGUUGUUAAUAGGUAUAAAUUACCUCUUUCCUGAGUGUCAAAAUAUGGUAUGCCUUUGUAGAAGAAAAUGGAAGAUAUAGUCCAAACACAAAUCCAUGGCAUAAACCUAUAAUUUUGACCUUGAGAUCAAAGGUCAAGGUCAUAAAGAGGUCAUGAAUGUACAUGACACAUACAGUACACGACACGAGUUUUAUACACCCCACCGUGGAAAGACCACGGAGAUACACCGUGUCCUCCGUGUUCCACGGUGUGUGUUAUUUGCGAAUACACACAGCUGCUAAGAGCUUUGUUCUGGCCACGGGCGCCUUGCGGGAAAUGUGAAAAUGUGCCGCAGGCCAAAUAAUCAAGAUAAGGGUGGAAUUUUAAGAAAAGAAAAAAAUGUCAAUAUUUUCCCUCCUGAUACUUAUAUUGUUUUUCAGCAUUUUGAGCCAAUUCCAACGAUACCAAACACUAUAUAUUAUGUUUUUAAGAAAACCUGGUUUUGAAAUUUUUUCUUUAAUAGUCUUCUUUCUUCAUUAAAAUAUUCUUGAAUUCUCUGUUUAAAUAAUGCGUACUUACAGGCAAUUCCUGUUUUGAAUGCGAAUUAGUAUAUUCAGUAAAUGAAAAACAUACAUGUACAACAUGUGAUAGGGAUGUUUAAUAAUUACCGAUGUGCUCUCUCUAUCUCUCUC